AUACGUAGGUGGCGAGCGUUGUCAGGAAUUACUGGGUGUAAAGGGCGUGUAGGCGGGGGAGCAAGUCAGAUGUGAAAGCCCAAGGCUCCACUUUGGGAUUGCAUCUGAAACUGUUUCUCUUGAGUACUGGAGAGGGAAGCGGAAUUCCUAGUGUAGCGGUGAAAUGCGUAGAGAUUAGGAGGAACACCAGUGGCGAAGGCGGCUUCCUGGACAGAGACUGACGCUGAGGCGCGAAAGCGUGGGGAGCGAACAGGAUUAGAUACCCUGGUAGUCCACGCCGUAAACGAUGGAUACUAGGUGUAGGAGGUAUCGACUCCUUCUGUGCCGGAGUUAACACAAUAAGUAUCCCACCUGGGGAGUACGGCCGCAAGGUUGAA
rnacentral:rRNA from 1 species